CGCGGCCUAUCAGCUUGUUGGUGAGGUAACGGCUCACCAAGGCAUCGACGGGUAGCUGGUCUGAGAGGACGAUCAGCCACACUGGGACUGAGACACGGCCCAGACUCCUACGGGAGGCAGCAGUGGGGAAUCUUGCGCAAUGGGCGAAAGCCUGACGCAGCGAUGCCGCGUGGGGGAUGAAGGCUCUCGGGUCGUAAACCCCUUUCAGCAGGGACGAAAAUGACGGUACCUGCAGAAGAAGCCCCGGCCAACUACGUGCCAGCAGCCGCGGUAACACGUAGGGGGCAAGCGUUGUCCGGAUUUAUUGGGCGUAAAGGGCUCGUAGGCUGUUCGGUAAGUCAGGUGUGAAAACCCAAGGCUCAACCUUGGGACGCCACUUGAUACUGCUGUGACUAGAGUUCGGUAGAGGAGAUUGGAAUUCCUGGUGUAGCGGUGAAAUGCGCAGAUAUCAGGAGGAACACCAACGGCGAAGGCAGAUCUCUGGGCCGAUACUGACGCUGAGGAGCGAAAGCGUGGGGAGCGAACAGGAUUAGAUACCCUGGUAGUCCACGCCGUAAACGUUGGGCACUAGGUGUGGGAUUCAUUCAACGGAUUCCGUGCCGUAGCUAACGCAUUAAGUGCCCCGCCUGGGGAGUACGG
rnacentral:rRNA from 1 species